ACUUGGACUGACGGCCUUACACGCAAAUUAAAACUUCCAAUAAUAGAGAUCAGAGUCGCAACAACCUGAGCUGGAGACCUCCACCUGCAUUCUUCAUCUACUCUAACUGUCCCUCAUACCACUAGUUAAUUUAGCAGUUGCUACGCUCCAACUCGGCUAUGGGCGUUUUACGCCACCGCCACCACAUAUCGUCUUCACUCUCUCUUGCGGCGACCAUAGUACUGAUCAAUUUAACCUUUCUUUAGCUCUCGGCUUACACCCUACUCGCAAUCUCAAGUUGACUGAACGAGUACUCCUUAUUGAGCAAAGAGGACCGGGUUCGUCGCCACCCACGUGUAGAUCCAAGUGCGGACGGUGUUCACCAUGUAAACCGGUUCGAGUCUCCGUUCGACCUGGCUUUACCUCUACUUUAGAGUACUACCCUGAAGCUUGGAGGUGCAAGUGUCGCAACAAACUCUUCAUGCCUUAGUCUAUGGAAGAUGAGACAGAGACACCGAAUGAACUUCAAAUUGUUGAAAAAUUUGGUGAAAGUGAUGCUUGAACUGAUUCCACAACCAGCAAUAGUGAAUCUCAAUAUGAUUGAAUGGUGUUUUAGGAGAUGAAUGGUGUUUAUUCACUCAAUUUUUUUGAUUCUGAUUGAAUGGUAUUUUAGGAGAUGAAUGGUGUUUUCUGAUUGAAUGGUGUUUUAGGAGAUGAAUGGUCCCAAGUCCUAACCAGCAAUUUUGUGACAAUUCAAUCCGACAAUCCGAAAAAUUAUCCGAUCCAAAGUUUAAAAUCCGAUCUGAUCCAAUGUUAAUUCGGAUCGGACCGGAUUCGGAUUGCCCUUUUCAGAAUCCGAAAUUCAAAUCCGAAAUAUGCUAAAUCCGAUCCAAUUCGAUCCGUGCACAACCCUAAUCUGAAUAAGUCAUGGAUGUAGAACAGCUCUAUGUUGCUCUCGCGUCUCAAAAAUAUGUAAGGGGCAUGUUUAUUGUAUUUUUUGAGGAUGCACACAUGUGUAAUACUCCAUCCGUCUCAUAAUAUGUGUUGUGAUUUUUUUGUACACGCCCCUUAAGAAAGA